GCCAGACAUGGUGGUGCAUGCCUGUAGUCCCAGCUACUUGGGAGGCUGAGGCAGGAGGAUCACUUGAGCCCAGGAAUUUGAGGCUGCAGUGAGCUAUGACUGCACCACUGCACUCCAGCCUGGGCAACAGAGCAAGACCCUGUCUCCA
ensembl:misc_RNA Metazoa_SRP Metazoan signal recognition particle RNA